GACGAACGCUGGCGGCGUGCUUAACACAUGCAAGUCGAACGGAAAGGCCCUGCUUUUGUGGGGUGCUCGAGUGGCGAACGGGUGAGUAACACGUGAGUAACCUGCCCUUGACUUUGGGAUAACUUCAGGAAACUGGGGCUAAUACCGGAUAGGAGCUCCUGCUGCAUGGUGGGGGUUGGAAAGUUUCGGCGGUUGGGGAUGGACUCGCGGCUUAUCAGCUUGUUGGUGGGGUAGUGGCUUACCAAGGCUUUGACGGGUAGCCGGCCUGAGAGGGUGGCCGGCCACAUUGGGACUGAGAUACGGCCCAGACUCCUACGGGAGGCAGCAGUGGGGAAUAUUGCACAAUGGGCGGAAGCCUGAUGCAGCAACGCCGCGUGCGGGAUGACGGCCUUCGGGUUGUAAACCGCUUUCGCCUGUGACGAAGCGUGAGUGACGGUAAUGGGUAGAGAAGCACCGGCUAACUACGUG
rnacentral:rRNA from 1 species